CUCUUGAGUGGCAAAUAUUUACUGAGAUGGGAUAAUAGGUUGAUGUGUGUAGCGCGUGUUAACAAAAUCUCAAUUAUCUGCAUGGUAUAUAUAUCUCUAAUCAUUGUCUUUUCCAGAAUGAAGAGAAGGUAUGAGAAAGAUAAUACUAAUAUUCCCUAUACAUCUGACAUUUAACUUUUAUGAGAUUCUUGGAUUCCUCAAAAUCAUGUCUAUUAGUGUUUCUUCAAUAUAUAUAUGCAUGAUCUUUCCUUUUGAAAUUCUCAUUAUGUACAUGAUUUUUGCUACUGCUGGCCUUGAAUUGGCACUGAUUUGGGCCACCUUGUUGAAUGAUUCGUGCACGCAUGUGUUUCGUUGGUCUUUUGCGAUAUGUGGGGAGCGUAAACUGGAAGAACGUGUGCAGCAGGCAUCGCUGCUGCGCUGGACGACGUUGUGUGAGGCCAUGGCCAUGGACGAUGUGAUGUUGGAGAACGGCGCAGGACUAAGGUAGUCGAUGUGAACGACCACUGGGCCGGGACUUUGAGUUGCCUGCAAUGGUGGAGCUCGGGAUGUUGGCAGAUCUGACCGGACUGGUGAGCACUCUGCCCACACCUGCCGAGGUCACCCUGCUCUGUGCCAUGCUCGGUAACUCACCCUCGCUGAUGGUAAUGUUAUGCACAAAAUGCUGAUGAAGUUGUGUACUGAUUCAAUGAACUGAAUUUUAAUGAGCUGAUGGUGAUGAUAUAUUUUUUGUGAACUAAAAAAGUGUAUCCCCAUAUUGGUGCUUUUAGGAAAUGGCGAAUUUACGUAUCCUUAUCAACCUUAUACUAAUACAUGUAUCUGUAUCGGUGCAUUCUUGGAUUUCAUGUAUAAGCUGCUCAAGAGAAAUUUAAAUAAGGUUGUUAUGUUUCAGCAUACUAUACAUACUUUCCCGUAGACAAUGCUGCAAUACUGUCAUGUGAUAACUAGUACUGAUAUAAGGACCCUUAUCUUCAGUGCCAUUUAGAGUAACAGUCUACAAUGCCACAACACUUUGUUGGACCUGUUUUUGGCGUUUCUUCUGCCAGGUAUCUCUAUGAUUUAAGUAGAUAGAUGUUAUUAAUUACACGUUCAUUGUGGUCGACCGACUGUCUCUCUUCUACAAUUGGAAAUCUGUUAUGUUCUGAUGAGAUGCUAUCGUAUGACUAAUAUGUAACUGGUGAGGUUUUAUGUCUCAUAGUUAAACUUUGUUUCAUAUUUUGAACUGGUUAUUGAACAUUUUUGUUUCCAUGACAGUAGAUCUAUAUCGGGAUUUAUAGCAUAUGCUCUAUGUGCAGCCAUGGGCGGAUCCAGCCCAGCGCCCCGGGCCCCCUUUGUAUACUGUAGCAGUUGCUACAAUAUUUUCCCUACAGCCCACAAAGAAAAUGGGCCUCACGCCCCGGGCCUGGGGCCUAGAUCCGCCAUUGUGUGCAGCUGAUGAGUCUUUCAGGGAUGCAAAUUGUGUGCCUUCGGAAAAUCAGAAUUAGGAAAGAAUGGGAUUUAUAGCAUAUAUGCUCUAUGUGCAGCUGAUGAAGCUUUGAGAGAUGAAAAUUGGUUGCCUUCGGAAAAUAAGAAGGAAAGAACGGUACCAAUUGCUUUUAGUGGAAGCUCUUUUCCUUUUUUGUAUUUUUGCCGAGUCGCUGAAUCUAAUUAGAGCUUUUAUCAGGGUGUUUCAAUUGGUGGGGGAAUCGGAAGCAUCUCAGACAUUUUUAAAUGCAUGACUGCUGAUUGUUGAAAAUGUUCAUACCCACACUCAUUGCAAUUUGUUUUAUUCUCAUUCUUUUGAGAGAAUUCCUUAUUUGACACUACCUUAAAAUGUGGUUCCCUAUUUGG